rnacentral:lncRNA from 10 species
CUGAUAUACAUGCCUAGGCCUCUUCUCUGCUCAGAACAGGGGCCUGUACAUCAUCCUCAGCUCUCUUCCUGAAGAAGAGCCAGUCCCUCCUGCCUCUUGGCCUGAGUGAGCCCACCUGCAUUUCCAAGAGUUACCACAUCAUUUGCCCUGGAAAAUUCUGCUGACUUCGAACAGAUAUUCAGAGUGUUUAGGGGAAAAAUAAGACACCUUAACAGCAUUGCCAAAUAACUUGUGGGGAGGGAGCCUCAGAAAUCACCACAGGCCUGAGUGGGAAGUCUAUGAAUCUUUGCAAAGUAAAAUCCUUUUAGCACAGGAUUCCUCCAGGCAAUGGAAAGUGCCCUUGAGUAUAUAAAGAUGGAUGCUGGUCUGCUGUCCACACCUCAGGCUGUGGGAGAACGUGUGUAUUUUUUAAAAUGAUGUUUAUCAGGUCUAGGUUGUUUUUCCAGCUCAAAACUGAGACAUGAAAAUGGAAUUUUUAGCCAGUAACUCAUACAUUUAGAUUCCUGGUUUUUAGGUUUUGGAAAAAAUGCACCUAGUUGUUUUCUUAUUACAAUACUGCUGGUUUUGUUCACCGGUCCGUGUUUUUCUUGGACUGUGGUAGAGUGGAAUGUUUUAAAUUAUGGCCUUUUGCUUUUUACCCUCCGAUGUCUACUAAAUAAGUCCAUCGUCUAAUUCUAAAAUUGUGAAGCAGCAAACAUGCACUUGUAGCCAACAAAGCUACAUUUUUAUUCCAGAAAGGGUACUUCUGUUCUAAAUUUACAGCAAAAUAGCUCUGGAGACAAAGGCAGGAUUUUGGCCAAACCAGACAUGCUCUUUUAUAUGGCAUGUCGCUUCCAAUGCCCUUGCUAAGUACUCUACCUUGCUGAAGGCUUCUUUUCACUAUUAAAAUCUAUAGUAAGUGUUUUGAAGUCUCAGCUGAUGUCAAAAAAAAGAAUGAAAGAAAAUGUGCUAUGUUUUGAUUUAGCCGUUAAAACAAAGCUCAAUUACAACAAAAAAUAAACCCACUACUCUGUGGGAUGAAGAAACUUGAUAUUUGGAAUCAAAGACUAAGUCAUAUUUUAGGCUUUCCUUACCAACAAAGUUACCAAUCCAAAGCAGUUGUAAAUUAAAUUUAAGUGAAAUGGAUUAAACCCCUCUUGGUGGAGCUACUGCAAUUUGGCUAGACUCCUUGUCCCUCUCUUUUCUGCUAUAAUCUUUUUUUUAUGCCAGGGGCUGGGUCUGGAUGCUGGAUGACCUUUAAUGCCUCUUCCCGAUCUGAGAUUCCAGAACUUUAUAGUACUGAAACUACAAGGUACUCUGAAUCAGUAAUUCUAAGAAUCUCUGAUUCUCUGCCUAGGUGUAUCUCAGACAUCAUCACAGGCCAUAAGGUGGUCUCCUAGUCUUUUAUUAUUAUUAUUAUUUAUUAUACUUUAAGUUCUAGGAUACAUGUGCAGAACAUGCAGAUUUGUUACAUACAUGUGCCGUGGUGGUUUGCUGCACCCAUCAACACGUCAUCUACAUUAGGUAUUUCUCCUAAUGCUAUCACUCCCCCUGUCCCCCACCCCCCAACAGGCCCCAGUGUGUGAUGUUCUCCUCCCUGUGUCCAUGUGUUCUCAUUGUUCAACUCCCACUUAUGAGUGAGAACAUGCAGUGUUUGGUUUUCUGUUCUUGUGUUAGUUUGCUGAGAAUGAUGGUUUCCAGCUUUAUCCAUGUUCCUGCAAAGGACAUGAACUCAUCCUUUUUAAUGGCUGCAUAGUAUUCCAUGGU